rnacentral:rRNA from 1 species
GGAAGGAUCAUUACCGAGUUGAUUCGGGCUCCGGCCCGAUCCUCCCACCCUUUGUGUACCCACCUCUGUUGCUUUGGCGGGCCGCGGUCCUCCGCGGCCGCCCUCCGUCCGGGGGGUGGCCAGCGCCCGCCAGAGGACCAUCGAACUCCGGUCAGUGAACGUUGCCGUCUGAAAAACAAUCAAUAAACUAAAACUUUCAACAACGGAUCUCUUGGUUCUGGCAUCGAUGAAGAACGCAGCGAAAUGCGAUAAGUAAUGUGAAUUGCAGAAUUCAGUGAAUCAUCGAAUCUUUGAACGCACAUUGCGCCCCUCGGUAUUCCGAGGGGCAUGCCUGUUCGAGCGUCAUUACAACCCUCAAGCUCUGCUUGGUGUUGGGCACCGCCCUUCCGCGGGCGCGCCUCAAAGACCUCGGCGGUGGCGUCUUGCCUCGAGCGUAGUAGAAAACACCUCGCUUUGGAGCGCACGGCGCCGCCCGCCGGACGAACCUUUUGAACUUUCUCAAGGUUGACCUCGGAUCAGGUAGGGAUACCCGCUGAACUUAAGCAUAUCAAUA